CCUACGGGUGGCAGCAGUGGGGAAUAUUGGGCAAUGGGCGCAAGCCUGACCCAGCAACGCCGCGUGAAGGAAGAAGGCUUUCGGGUUGUAAACUUCUUUUCUCAGGGACGAAGCAAGUGACGGUACCUGAGGAAUAAGCCACGGCUAACUACGUGCCAGCAGCCGCGGGAAUACGUAGGUGGCAAGCGUUAUCCGGAUUUACUGGGUGUAAAGGGCGUGUAGGCGGGACUGCAAGUCAGAUGUGAAAACCAUGGGCUCAACCUAUGGCCUGCCUUUGAAACUGUAGUUCUUGAGUACUGGAGAGGCAAGCGGAAUUCCUAGUGUAGCGGUGAAAUGCGUAGAUAUUAGGAGGAACACCAGGGGCGAAGGCGGUCUUCUGGACAGCAACUGACGCUGAGGCGCGAAAGCGUGGGGAGCAAACAGGAUUAGAUACCCUUGUAGUC
rnacentral:rRNA from 1 species